rnacentral:rRNA from 1 species
GACGAACGCUGGCGGCGUGCCUAAUACAUGCAAGUAGAACGCUGAAGCUUGGUGCUUGCCCCGAGCGGAUGAGUUGCGAACGGGUGAGUAACGCGUAGGUAACCUGCCUGGUAGCGGGGGAUAACUAUUGGAAACGAUAGCUAAUACCGCAUAAGAGUAGAUGUUGCAUGACAUUUGCUUAAAAGGUGCAAUUGCAUCACUACCAGAUGGACCUGCGUUGUAUUAGCUAGUUGGUGAGGUAACGGCUCACCAAGGCAACGAUACAUAGCCGACCUGAGAGGGUGAUCGGCCACACUGGGACUGAGACACGGCCCAGACUCCUACGGGAGGCAGCAGUAGGGAAUCUUCGGCAAUGGACGGAAGUCUGACCGAGCAACGCCGCGGGAGUGAAGAAGGGUUUCGGAUCGUAAAGCUCGGUUGUAAGAGAAGAACGAGUGUGAGAGUGGAAAGUUCACACUGUGACGGUAUCUUACCAGAAAGGGACGGCUAACUACGUG